UACGGAGGGUGCGAGCGUUGUCCGGAAUCACUGGGCGUAAAGGGCGCGUAGGCGGCGCGGCUAGUCGGCGGUGAAAGCCCGGAGCUCAACUCCGGGUCGGCCGUCGAUACUUCCGGGCUUGAGCACUGUAGAGGCAGAUGGAAUUCCGGGUGUAGCGGUGGAAUGCGUAGAGAUCCGGAAGAACACCGGUGGCGAAGGCGGUCUGCUGGGCAGUUGCUGACACUGAGGCGCGACAGCGUGGGGAGCAAACAGG
rnacentral:rRNA from 1 species